rnacentral:snRNA from 1 species
AGCUUUGCGCAGUGGCAUUAUUGUAGCCAAUGAGGUUUAUCCGAAGUGCGAUUAUUGCUAAUUAAAAACAAAUGAAACCCUC